rnacentral:rRNA from 1 species
GACAGAGGGUGCAAACGUUGUUCGGAAUUACUGGGCGUAAAGCGCGUGUAGGCUGCCCCGCAAGUCAGGUGUGAAAGCCUGGGCUCAACCUAGGAAGUGCACUUGAAACUGCGGGGAUCGAGGGCUGGAGAGGGAAGCGGAAUUCUCGGUGUAGAGGUGAAAUUCGUAGAUAUCGAGAGGAACACCGGUGGCGAAGGCGGCUUCCUGGACAGUUACUGACGCUGAGACGCGAAAGCGUGGGGAGCAAACAGG